rnacentral:rRNA from 1 species
GCGGCGUGCCUAACACAUGCAAGUCGAGCGGAUGAGUGGAGCUUGCUCCAUGAUUCAGCGGCGGACGGGUGAGUAAUGCCUAGGAAUCUGCCUGGUAGUGGGGGAUAACGUUUCGAAAGGAACGCUAAUACCGCAUACGUCCUACGGGAGAAAGUGGGGGAUCUUCGGACCUCACGCUAUCAGAUGAGCCUAGGUCGGAUUAGCUAGUUGGUGGGGUAAUGGCCCACCAAGGCGACGAUCCGUAACUGGUCUGAGAGGAUGAUCAGUCACACUGGAACUGAGACACGGUCCAGACUCCUACGGGAGGCAGCAGUGGGGAAUAUUGGACAAUGGGCGAAAGCCUGAUCCAGCCGUGCCGCGUGUGUGAAGAAGGUCUUCGGAUUGUAAAGCACUUUAAGUUGGGAGGAAGGGCAGUAAGUUAAUACCUUGCUGUUUUGACGUUACCAACAGAAUAAGCACCGGCUAACUUCGUGCCAGCAGCCGCGGUAAUACGAAGGGUGCAAGCGUUAAUCGGAAUUACUGGGCGUAAAGCGCGCGUAGGUGGUUCAGCAAGUUGGAUGUGAAAGCCCCGGGCUCAACCUGGGAAUUGCAUCCAAAACUACUGAGCUAGAGUACGGUAAAGGGUGGUGGAAUUUCCUGUGUAGCGGUGAAAUGCGUAG